UAGUAGGCAGUUCUGCUAUGACGCAAGUUGAGGGAGAAAUUUUAGCCUGUUGUCUCCGGGGUACUUUGCGUGGUGAAUGAAGGGACAUGCUCAAGGCUUAGAUCUUCAUUUCAAUUUUAGGAUUACAGGUACCUGAUAGCAUUAAUUCCCAUGGGGAGGAGAUCAGCAAGAAUCUACAGAUUUGAGUGUCUGGGACAGAGGAGCUUUAUCAGAAUUCAGUUUAACAACUGCUCUGCCAAGAUUGAUGCUUAGUGAAUCCAGCUUCAGCAGGCAUUGCCAAACUUCCGAAUGGCUUAUCAGCCCAAUCUGGUGUGGCAGAUUUCCUCACAAUUACUGAUUUUUCUGGUAGAAAGAAGCCCUGUGAUGUGCAAACCCAGAGCAGCACAAGGAGCAGGGGAUAUUUUCAUCCUCUCAUUGUCUGGGGAGGCUGGAGGGGGAACUGAAUCAGCAUCUUCCACUUCUCCAAAGUGAUUUCUCUAGUUUAUGUAGUGUCUGGAGGCCAUGAGGAUUUUUCCCGGCAAAAAUGAAAGAGCUGUUGCUACAGCAAACAACU